AGCUUUGUGCAGUGGUGAUUUCGUAACCAAUGAGGUUUUACCGAGGUGCGAUUAUUGCUAGUUGAAAACUAAUACAAUUGUUUCUGUUCAAAAUUACCUGUUCUUCAAAUGUUGUUGAUUUUUUUAUAACUACUAGUACUAGU